rnacentral:tRNA from 1 species
CCGCCUAUAGCUCAGCUGGUAGAGCAACCGGCUCUUAACCGGUAGGUCGUAGGUUCGAUUCCUACUGGGCGGA